rnacentral:rRNA from 1 species
GGGCCCGCACAAGCGGUGGAGCAUGUGGUUUAAUUCGAUGCAACGCGAAGAACCUUACCAGGGCUUGACAUACUACAAAUUCUUUAGAAAUAGAGAAGUGCCUUCGGGAAUGUAGAUACAGGUGGUGCAUGGCUGUCGUCAGCUCGUGUCGUGAGAUGUUGGGUUAAGUCCCGCAACGAGCGCAACCCUUGUUUUUAGUUACUAAUUCGUUAGGUUUUCUAGAAAGACUGCCGGUGACAAACCGGAGGAAGGUGAGGAUGACGUCAAGUCAGCAUGCCCCUUAUGUCCUGGGCUACACACGUGCUACAAUGGUUAAGACAAAGAGUCGCGAGCUCGCGAGAGUCAGCUAAUCUCAUAAACUUAGCCUAAGUUCAGAUUGUAGGCUGCAACUCGCCUACAUGAAGUUGGAAUCGCUAGUAAUCGCUGGUC